CUGGGGAGUCCAGCCUCGAUUUUCGCCGGGUCUGCGCAGUUCUGCGUUUGCACGCUGCUAUCCCAACCUCGCGGCUCGGGGCGGUGUCGGCCAGGUGGGGUCAGCGAAGAGAGGUGGUCACGCCGCGCCCUUUCUCGGUGCCCUGGAGACCCAUACUCGGACGUCCUUACGCACCAAGGCUCUAGAGCCCUGCACGUCUCCAAACCCAGAGGCAGAUGAAAAGGGCGCUCCGCUCUUCUGCUUUGGUUCUACCGGCCGCUCCGUGGAAAAGCAAACAUGGUUAUAGUUGAAGAUUUGUUUCUUCUCCAUCUCGGUCUUCUCAGAUGGGUGCCCCUGCAUCAGGUGAAAGUCAACACUUCUGCAGUCAAUCCUUGAUGGAACUGUAGCUUCAACUUUUUUUGAACACUCCUUUCAGCACCAUAAAGUUUUAAGACAAGGGCAACACAGUUGAUCCCUCUUGUUCUGGAGCUUCAACCUCUUGGACUGCCCAUCUGCCGGUUCUCCCAGCUCUCCAGCCUGCAGAUGGCCAUUGUGGACUAUUGAGCUUCUGGUCGCAUAAGGCAAACUAAUAAAUGCCCUUUUUAUAAUUA